GGAAGACGUAGUGCGCGCCGUGUGUAAAAGUUAGAUUUUGAGGUUAAAAGCUAUAAUAGCAUAGUACGGAUAUAAAGUACGGAAAAAAGGUGGUUAAAAAGAAAAUAUUAGUACGAACAAGAAAAGAAUUGUGCGAUAAACGCUGUUGAAAUCAAUUCUAAGAAGC